AUCUUUGUGCAGGGGCAAGUACUGUCGCCAGUGAAGUUUUACUGAGGCACAGUUUUUUGCUAAUUGCAAAUAACACAUCCUACUCGUCUGUUUCCAUUGGUCUCAGCAAUUUUUGGUUUUCAUUCAGUUUU
rnacentral:snRNA from 1 species